rnacentral:rRNA from 1 species
UACGUAGGGUGCGAGCGUUAAUCGGAAUUACUGGGCGUAAAGCGCACGUAGGCGGCUCUUUAAGUCGGGGGUGAAAUCCUGGAGCUCAACUCCAGAACUGCCUUCGAUACUGUAGAGCUUGAGUUCGGGAGAGGUGAGUGGAACUGCGAGUGUAGAGGUGAAAUUCGUAGAUAUUCGCAAGAACACCAGUGGCGAAGGCGGCUCACUGGCCCGAUACUGACGCUGAGGUGCGAAAGCGUGGGGAGCAAACAGG